AAAAAACAAAGAAUUUUGCUUCCAUUUACGGGAAUACAAAUGAUUCUCAUGACAGGGAAGUGCCGGAUGAGGUGUACAAAAGUUUGGAUGCGGUUGGAGAGGGUGAAAAUUGGUGGGAGGCUGUUGAGCUGCAAAAACUGAUCCUAGCUCAUAAUGAUAUUGAGGCGGUGAA